GCAGUCGAACGGUGAACCGGGCUUCGGCCCGGGGAUCAGUGGCGAACGGGUGCGUAACACGUGGGCAACCUGCCCCAGACACUGGGAUAACUCCGGGAAACCGGGGCUAAUACCGGAUACUCCGGUCGAACCUCAUGGUUCGAUCGGGAAAGCUCCGACGGUCUGGGAUGGGCCCGCGGCCUAUCAGCUUGUUGGCGAGGUAACGGCUCACCAAGGCGACGACGGGUAGCUGGUCUGAGAGGACGACCAGCCACACUGGAACUGAGAUACGGUCCAGACUCCUACGGGAGGCAGCAGUGGGGAAUCUUGCACAAUGGGCGAAAGCCUGAUGGAGCGACGCCGCGUGGGGGACGAAUGCCUUCGGGUUGUAAACCCCUUUCGGCAGGGAAGAAGCGCAAGUGACGGUACCUGCAGAAGAAGUCCCGGCUAACUACGUGCCAGCAGCCGCGGUAAGACGUAGGGGACGAGCGUUGUCCGGAUUCAUUGGGCGUAAAGCGCGCGUAGGCGGUUUGGUAAGUCGGAUGUGAAAACCAGAGGCUCAACCUCUGGCCUGCAUCCGAUACUGCCCGGCUAGAGGUAGAUAGGGGAGAUCGGAAUUCCUGGUGUAGCGGUGAAAUGCGCAGAUAUCAGGAGGAACACCGGUGGCGAAGGCGGAUCUCUGGGCCUUACCUGACGCUGAGGCGCGAAAGCUAGGGGAGCAAACAGGAUUAGAUACCCUGGUAGUCCUAGCCGUAAACGUUGGGUGCUAGGUGUGGCAGGACAUCGACCC
rnacentral:rRNA from 1 species